UUAAGUUCAGCGGGUAUCCCUACCUGAUCCGAGGUCAAAAGUGUUAUAGGUACUUAAUGGACGCGAGUGGUUAUCAGCUAGAAUCGCAAAUUGUGCUGCGCUUCAAUACCAAUACACUGGCUGCCAAUUACUUUAAGGCGAGUCCAAACGCAGUGGAAAGGACAAACACCCAACACCAAGCAAAGCUUGAAGGUACAAAU
rnacentral:misc_RNA from 1 species